rnacentral:rRNA from 1 species
UACGAAGGGGGCUAGCGUUGCUCGGAAUCACUGGGCGUAAAGCGCACGUAGGCGGAUUUCUAAGUCAGGGGUGAAAUCCUGGAGCUCAACUCCAGAACUGCCUUUGAUACUGGGAAUCUCGAGUCCGGGAGAGGUGAGUGGAACUGCGAGUGUAGAGGUGAAAUUCGUAGAUAUUCGCAAGAACACCAGUGGCGAAGGCGGCUCACUGGCCCGGUACUGACGCUGAGGUGCGAAAGCGUGGGGAGCGAACAGG